rnacentral:lncRNA from 1 species
AUUACCAGUCAUGCUUUUGUCUUUCUCUGUUAUCAAACAUCAAACAUUCAUUAUAUGUAAAAGAAAAACACUUCAGUUUAUGCACAUAUAUAGAUAUAAACAUUUAUAUAUGUAUCGCCUCAACUGUGUACAUAUAUAAUAUGUUAAUACCUUGACUGACUUUCUCAUUUUCUGGAAUGAAAAAUUCUUCAUUACCCAUCGUGCUACAUCCCUCAUCUGUUACCAAAUAUGAAGCAUUCAUU